AGCAAAAGAAACCAACCGGGAUUGCCUCAGUAACGGCGAGUGAAGCGGCAAGAGCUCAAAUUUGAAAGCUGGCUCCUUCGGAGUCCGCAUUGUAAUUUGCAGAGGAUGCUUUGGGUGCGGCCCCCGUCUAAGUGCCCUGGAACGGGCCGUCAGAGAGGGUGAGAAUCCCGUCUUGGGCGGGGUGUCCGUGCCCGUGUAAAGCUCCUUCGACGAGUCGAGUUGUUUGGGAAUGCAGCUCUAAAUGGGUGGUAAAUUUCAUCUAAAGCUAAAUACUGGCCGGAGACCGAUAGCGCACAAGUAGAGUGAUCGAAAGAUGAAAAGCACUUUGAAAAGAGAGUUAAACAGCACGUGAAAUUGUUGAAAGGGAAGCGCUUGCGACCAGACUCGCCCGCGGGGUUCAGCCGGCAUUCGUGCCGGUGUACUUCCCCGUGGGCGGGCCAGCGUCGGUUUGGGCGGCCGGUCAAAGGCCCCUGGAAUGUAGUGCCCUCCGGGGCACCUUAUAGCCAGGGGUGCAAUGCGGCCAGCCUGGACCGAGGAACGCGCUUCGGCACGGACGCUGGCAUAAUGGUCGUAAACGAC
rnacentral:rRNA from 3 species